ACUUAGCCCUGAUUGAACGAUCUGUUUGAGCUCUUUUUUGAGUUUUUACGAAAAAAAAGCGAGUAGUGAAAGCAGGAAAUAGC
rnacentral:misc_RNA from 1 species